UCACCAGCCCCCGGUAAUACGGAGGGUGCAAGCGUUACUCGGAAUCACUGGGCGUAAAGGACGCGUAGGCGGAUUAUCAAGUCUCUUGUGAAAUCUAACGGCUCAACCGUUAAACUGCUUGGGAAACUGAUAAUCUAGAGUAAGGGAGAGGCAGAUGGAAUUCUUGGUGUAGGGGUAAAAUCCGUAGAUAUCAAGAAGAAUACCUAUUGCGAAGGCGAUCUGCUGGAACUUAACUGACGCUAAUGCGUGAAAGCGUGGGGAGCAAACAGGAUUAAUACCCUGGUAGUCCACGCCCUAAACGAUGUAUACCGGUUGUUGCUGUGCUAGUCACGGCAGUAAUCCACCUAACGGAUUAAGUAUACCGCAUGGGGAA
rnacentral:rRNA from 1 species